CGCCGGCGACCGGCGCACGGGUGAGUAACACGUAUGGAACCUGCCCGCAGCAGGGGGAUAAGCGGAAGAAAUUCCGUCUAAUACCGCGUAACAACCCGAGGAGGCAUCUCCUCGGGUUUAAAGGAAGCGAUUCCGGCUACGGAUGGUCAUGCGUCGCAUUAGCUAGUUGGCGGGGUAACGGCCCACCAAGGCGACGAUGCGUAGGGGUUCUGAGAGGAAGGUCCCCCACACUGGUACUGAGACACGGACCAGACUCCUACGGGAGGCAGCAG
rnacentral:rRNA from 1 species